AGACUUUGAUCCGGAGAUGUCUGAAUGGGGGAACCCAGCCAUCAUAAGAUGGUUACCUUACACUGAAUACAUAGGUGUAUGGAGCGAACCAGGGGAACUGAAACAUCUAAGUACCCUGAGGAAAAGAAAUCAACCGAGAUUCCCUUAGUAGUGGCGAGCGAACGGGGACUAGCCCUUA
rnacentral:rRNA from 12 species